AUGAAGCCACUGGGAGUACCCUCCUCUUCUCGAGGGACAGCACUGAGGGCCACUCUACCCUCACUCAGCCACCCACAGUCCACUCCUGCCUGGUCCAGCAGAGGAACAAUCAUCACAUGUCAUAUUUGCAAACUGUUAGAUAAGUAGCGAAAGCAACCUCACUCUGUUUGGCCUGAUAGUUUAAUGUCUUUUUUCCACUUCUUUGAGGAUUAUCCGGAACAUCAACGCAGUGCAUACAACAUACAAUCAUCAAUGGUGUGUGCAGUACCUACAAGCCGUAGAUACUACCAUCUUACAUUUACAGUUGGCACUUUACCAGUUACAAAGCAAUUUCAUACAUACUGCCUCAGACAGAAUCUAAUACCAGCCUGAAAGAUGAAUCAAGGAGGAAUUACUACAUAUGAGGAAAUGGAAGUCAAAAGAGAAGACUGAGGAUCAGAGUUUAAGGAAAAUUGCCCAAGGACAUCAGUCAAGGAAGUGGCUGGAGCUGGAGCCCUAUCCUUCUGGCUCGUAGUCCAGAGCCUGCUCUGUGAUAACACCAGUCAAGCCCACAGCAGAAGGCUGCUAGGAAGAACCAGCUUGGACCACAUCGUGCUGGAUUUAAAGCUAUAAACCAGCCACCAACCAGCACAGGAGGCUCAGAGACAAACCUCUUCUUAUUUGCAGAAGUCAGGACUUGUGAGCUGACUACUGUUGCACAUCCCCAAUGAGGAUGGCACCUGAGGGUGUGACCUCCGAGUACAGCAUGGCAAAUGUAGGAUCCACUGAAGGAAGAGCCUCUGGCUGGAGCAGGUGACAGAACCCUGUUCCCUGAAGGAGGUGGUGUCCUGGAGGUUGGGGAGCUCUGAUUCCCCUCGGAGCAGCAGUGUUACCUGUAAAUUCUAAUCUCAAGGAAGUCUGGAAUGCCCUGUCUGAAAGAAUUUAUCUUUUAAAUAUGUCCGCUGUUACGACUCUGUUUCUUGUUGAACAAGCUGUCCAGCGUUACAAAGAGUGCCCUCUUAAAAUGUAAUU